ACAGGUUUCGCUUGUUGAUAUUUCUGGCAUAUACUUGAUGAAAUAUACAUAAAUAUGUGUUCUUUCGUAUAGGUUUUCACCAGAAUCAAGCAUCAGUUCAAUGGGAACUGGAAUGAUGAAAACACUUGUCGUGCCUCAGAGUGUGGCGCCGAAGAGAAGGACGAGCAGUCAGUGGUGUCUUCGUCUUCGCCGAUUGUGCUGUGCGUAGAUGCGGAAGACCGGCAACCGACGGCAAUAUGUUCAUGUGGCUUCAAGCAUAGGUUAUUCAUGGAGAUAUGCCACAAUUGCCACCUGAGGCCAUUAUGAAUUGUGGUGGGAUGGCACAAACAAGAAGAGAUGGUAUCAGGUGACUUAGUGAUAGUUUUGCUUUGGGAGUAUUAAGAAGAGUGACACGUAUUGUGGUUAAAGUCCGCAAAGAUAUGUUAGCUUUUAUUUUGAAUUGAUGGUUGUGCUCUGGCAUCCACCUUGUAACACUGUAUAGACCUUCUGGUUUGCUCUGUUUGCUAUGCUAUGCUAUAUGCCUGAACAUUUUAAUGAUGUAUUUCUGUUAA